ACGACCGCCACCAAUUCGUGUGCUCCCGUCGACGUCUCUUGAGGAUCGUAAAGUAUCGAUGUUUCCCUGUACGUUAUCAGACCCCAAUUCUCCAUAGCACCGGCAGCGAAAUCCGGUAUCGCUAUAAGGAGUGGACAAGUUUUGUGUGGAAAAAAUGGACUAAUGAUUGAACUUUGAGUACGUCCAAAAAUUGCAACUUCGAAAGCUUCGAGGUCAGGUUGCAGGUGACUGCACGGUCCAUACUGUUAAGCACUGCGGCAGAUAUUCUACUAUAUGUGGAUAGUGGACCCCGAAGAAGGACUCGAAAUAAUCCAUCAUACGGGCUGCAGUGGUAACUGCGAAUUUGGCUUGUGGAAGCAUCGACUCGGGAGCGUAAACGCUUACGGAAACGUUUCUGCUGGUCAGUUCCGAG